GUGGUGGUGACCCAGGUUCUUUCUACCUUGUUGCUCUGUGAUCCUCAACACCCAGCUCCUACCCAUAGUUAAUAUGGCUGCUCCAGCUCCUGCCAUCACCUCUGUCAUGCAGCAGUGCAAACAGAAAGAAGAAGAAGGGGAAGCCAUGUCUCUUCCUUCUGGAGGCAGGACCCAGAGGUUUCACAGGAAGAGAGGAUAAUGGAUAUUGGGGGCAACUAGCAAUCUCUGCCACUGGAACACAAUCUCCCCUCCCCCCCAGGACUUCGGUGAACCAAGGUCAAGGCAAUGGCAGACUGCAAGGGGAGGAGAGAGGUGAUCUGGCAAGUAGUCUGAGGAGGCUGCCUGGGGGAGGCAACAUCUGGGCCAAGCCUUGAAGGACAACUAGAGUUUGGGAAGCUGAGAUGGAAAAGAGUUCCAGAAAAGGUGGUGGACUAGCCGAUGGAGCAAGUGUGGAGAAAUUAUGGUUCAGUGUGAAGAGCCUGGUUUUGCAGCCAGAGGACCCAGGUCCAAGUCCUGACACAGUCGGCGGAGCAAGGCGCCCGCUUCCCCGAGCCUCGGCUGACCCCUCGUUGAAAGGCUGAUGGCCACAGCUCCUCGAAGGCCUGCGGGGGGCGGCGGCCGCGGAAGGGCCUGGCAUUCGGUGGGGUUGUGGCGGAUGUUCCCAUGGCUGGAGCGCGGGGUCAGGGUUGGGCAGGGGCAGGAGGCGGAGGCCCCACCUGGCGGCCUCGAAGGCCAGGCCAAGCGGUUUGGAUGUUGCUCAGAAGCUGUGGGCAGCUGCUUGGCAGGGCAGCAUCCUGAGAGGAGAGUGGCUUUUCAAACACGACUCUGGAAGAUGGAGAGGAGGAGGUGAGACUGGAGGCGUAGGAACCCAGCAGGAGGCAGCUCCAGAGUCCCCGGGGAGAGACACAGUGUGGACCUCCCAAAGCCAGGGAACCUGUCCAUCCCAACUGGGCAUUUGGGAAGACUGCCUGGAGGAGGCAGCCCCAAAGCUGUGCCAGCCAAAGAGGGGGAAGUGGGGAGCUUGCCCUGGAGGGGACCAGCCAGGCAGGAGGGACAAGCCAAAGCCAGGCCAUGCCCAGGGCAGACAGGCCCUGCCCCCCACCAGAGGCACCCACACCCCAAACACUCAGAGCACCCCUGGGAGCCAACGCUGUGCCUGGCGGUAUGCCCCCAUCCCAGCUGACCCUCCCAGUGACCUUGCAAGGUAGAUAUCCUUGUUCCCAAUUUAAAGAAGAGAAAACUGAAGUCCAGAGAGGGCUAACCGCUUCAGUGAGGCCACACAGCAAGGAUUGGGGCCCAGCAGUCAGACCCUGAGUACCCAGCACAAUUAGACCUCCCUGGGGCUUUGGGCUGUCCUUCAGAAAUGCCCUGACACUGUCAGCCUGGACGCAGGACAGAUUUUCAUCCUGAAAAAGGGAUGAAGAUCAAAAACUGCUUUAUCCACAUCACCCCGUCAAGGCAUCCCUUACGAAGCGGGGAGAGAGUUACCCCAUUGAACAGAGGGACACACUGAGGCCAGAGAGGUGAAGUCACAUGCCCAGGGGCACACAGCCACUCAGUGGCCGGCAGGAUUUGCAUGAGGUCUCUCUGACUCCACGUCCUGGUUCCCAGGAUCCUCGUCCUGGCCGAGGCCGCUCUCCCCUCCCCCUGUCUGCUCCCCCGCUGUUUUCCUGGCUCUCUCAGGGAAGAGAACAUGCUCUGAGUCUCUGUUUCCCUGGGAGAAAUCCAUUUUCAGAAUCUGGAGGUGUUGAAAUGUGUUCUUUUUUCCUCUCCAAAG
ensembl:lncRNA